rnacentral:lncRNA from 1 species
CUGCUCACAAUGCCCACCCCGUUGCUAAGUGACGUGAGCGCGAGGCUCUGAGGGAGCGGGCGCGCCCUCUGGUGGUGCCUAGGCACAGGCACAGGCUGUGGCCAGUGCUUCCUCAAGGCGGCUCUGGCCCCUGUUUUCUUGUGGGUCCUUCAGACCGUUGGACGGAUGGAAGGAGCAAGGCAGGAAGGGAACAAAGACAGAAGGAAGAUAGGAAGGUGAUAUAUUUUAGUACGGUUUUCCAGCGUGUUACUUAAAUCUAGAACGAAGUUUAGGAAAACACAGGAAUGGACAUGUGACACUUUACUGGUAAAAUCUGUCGCGUUUGGAUUCCUAUUCAUCUCCUAUAUUUUCAUUGUUCUUUAGGGAAUCAAAUAGAGACCUCUAUGUUUCACUGCGAACUCCCGAGUUGAAUAUCCUUUGUCAUAGUUAGAAAGCGCAAUAUUUAAAUGUUUUGUGUACACCUUGUACCAGUUACCAGUUUGUUUCCUCACUGCCCUAACUCCAUCUUUCCUUGUUCUGCUUUGCGAUAUGGAAGGUAACCCUGUAGGUGUUUCUUUGUUGACAGCUGGGUCAACGGCCGCUUUUCAGUAGAUGGGAUUGGAGAGCGAGUGCGUGGAGAAGGGGUCUUCCUCCAGUUUCUGAAAUGCUUUUCCAUUCUUACUCUGAUGGUGGUCUGCAGCCAGUGGCCUGCUGGCUACACAGGGUCAUAUGGUCUCCUGUGAGUUUGACAGCACUUACAGACAGCUGGGUCUGUCAACGGACUAACCUUCCAGAGAUUUCACUAGCACACUCCCAACGCUCCUUCCCCCUUUCAAGAGGCUUCCUUGCACGUUCUGUAGAUCUUUUGUCUUCUUGAACAUAGGAAGUUUUAUUUGUAACAGCUUAUUUAACAACCUUUUCUAUGAAUUCUAUCAACUGUAUAAUUUCUUGGAAUUCUAGCCACUUUGGCUUUCCUAAGUUCUCAACUCUUCAAUUCAGGGCAGCUAGCUUACCCUUUUCUCUCCUGUGCUGUGGCCCGAAAAGUGUCUGCAGGCAGGACACCAGGGCAAUCCCAGGACUCACUUCUUUUCUCCUCCUCUCAUGAAUCCUUCUUCUGAUUGGCCUGUUUUCAACUGUUGUUUUAUUUGUUUUUUCCAGUUUUUUCUUUGUUGAAGGCAGCAAAGGUAAAUCUGGUCCUUGUUACUCCAUCGUGGUUGGAGUGGCAGUCCACUUCUUCUUUUUUAAUACUACCAAUUAGAUAGUAUUAUGAUAAUUAAUAUUUUUAAGAAGUGCUUGUUUGCCCUCACAGACAUGUUUCCCAUUGUUGGUCACCAUUCUUUCUUGCUCAUUAGGUUGUCCUUCUAGGAUAAUUUUCAUUCUUCCUGAAGAGCAUCCGUUUGAGGUUCGUUUAGUGAAGUCUUGGUGGUGAACUCUUGUUUUUAUUGGUAAAUAUUUUAUCAUCAUUCUGAAAGAUACAUUUCCUAGAUGCCAAGUUCUGGGUUUUCACCUCAACCCUGUAAAGACAUUAUCUUGCUGCCUUCUGGCUUCCAUUUGUUGCCGUUGAGCCGUCUGCUUCCCAAAGUCUAGGCUAUUUUGGAGCCGAAAGGGACUCUGGGUAUUGAUGGGCCAGGUUCCUCGUGUUAACGCCCAUGCUGAAGAUUAGAACCUCUAGGCUCAGAACUGCCCCCAGGUCACACAAUCUGACAGUUGGGGACUGGGACCCGCGCCCCAGUGCUCUGAGUUUCAGGCCUCAGCUAGCCCAGUUUCUUAACCAAAUUUGCGUGUCUUUGGCCCAGAGAGGUAGGGAGGGGUCCUGGAGCUUCUGUCUCCUCAUCUGUGAAACAGGGUCAAACACAGACCCUCCCUGUAUAGCUGGAGGUUACAUAGAUAUGGCCCAACCCACGGGAUGCCACCCACUGGUAGGAAUGUGAACAUGGGAGGUGGAGGAAGGGCUAGACCAUUGAGAGUCCCCAGAGGCAGGGGUGAGAGGCGAAGGGCGUAGAGGCGGAGCUUCAGACGCCAGAGGAGGGAAUUCAAGAAUUUGGGGCGGGGCUUGAAGUUUGAAGCUUUUAGAUGUGCAGCUGGCAGUUGCCUGGGCCCGGAGAAGCCGCGAACGGGAUUGUGUGAGAAGCUGGCCCCACCUUGGCAGCCCUGGUUGGAUGCAGCGAGUCACAGAGGCGGGGCCGGGGCUCGGG